rnacentral:rRNA from 1 species
UACGUAGGUGGCAAGCGUUUGUCCGGAUUUAUUGGGGUUUAAGGGUGCGUAGGCGGUCUAUUAAGUCAGUGCUGAAAUAUCCCGGCUUAACCGGGAGGGUGGCAUUGAUACUGAUGGACUUGAGUAAAGUUGAGGUUGGCGGAAUGACGGUGUAGCGGUGAAAUGCUUAGAUAUCGUCAAGAACACCUAUUGCGAAGGCAGCUAACUAGCUUAAACUGACGCUGAGGCACGAAAGUGUGGGGAUCAAACAGG